CCUACGGGAGGCAGUAGUGGGGAAUAUUGCACAAUGGGGGAAACCCUGAUGCAGCGACGCCGCGUGAGUGAAGAAGUAUUUCGGUAUGUAAAGCUCUAUCAGCAGGAACGAGACAAGACGGUACCUGACUAAGAAGCCCCGGCUAACUACGUGCCAGCAGCCGCGGUAAUACGUAGGGGGCAAGCGUUAUCCGGAAUCACUGGGUGUAAAGGGAGCGUAGACGGCUGUGCAAGCCUGAAGUGAAAGGCGGGGGCCCAACCCCGGGACUGCUUUGGGAACUGUACGGCUGGAGUGCAGGAGAGGUAAGUGGAAUUCCUAGUGUAGCGGUGAAAUGCGUAGAUAUUAGGAGGAACACCAGUGGCGAAGGCGGCUUACUGGACUGUAACUGACGUUGAGGCUCGAAAGCGUGGGUAGCAAACAGGAUUAGAUACCCCUGUAGUC
rnacentral:rRNA from 1 species